GAUGAACGCUAGCGGCAGGCUUAAUACAUGCAAGUCGAGGGGCAGCAUGAAUGUAGCAAUACAUUUGAUGGCGACCGGCAAACGGGUGCGGAACACGUACACAACCUUCCUAUAAGUGGGGAAUAGCCCAGAGAAAUUUGGAUUAAUACCCCGUAACAUAAUGAUGUGGCAUCACAUUAUUAUUAUAGCUACGGCGCUUAUUGAUGGGUGUGCGGCUGAUUAGAUAGCUGGCGGGGUAACGGCCCACCAAGUCUACGAUCAGUAGCUGAUGUGAGAGCAUGAUCAGCCACACGGGCACUGGGACACGGGCCCGACUCCUACGGGAGGCAGAAGUAAGGAAUAUUGGUCAAUGGACGCAAGUCUGAACCAGCCAUGCCGCGUGAAGGAUUAAGGUCCUCUGGAUUGUAAACUUCUUUUAUCUGGGACGAAAAAAGGCGAUUCUUCGUCACUUGACGGUACCAGAUGAAUAAGCACCGGCUAACUCCGUGCCAGCCGCCGCUGUAACAC
rnacentral:rRNA from 1 species